GAGGCGGAGCCUAUCUCUCAUCAGGACCAGUCUGACUGCACCUGCAUCCUUAGCUCAGAGCAUCCCUGGAGCAUCUAAGAGGAAAGCGCAGCUAGCAACCAGGGAUCGUACUGCAGGGGCAAUCGGUCAUGCACCUUCCCCUCCCCUGAUCUGGAGGUCUACAGCCGCGGCCUCGGUACUGACCGAGAUUCCCAAAGUUGUCUGACCUCUGCAAAAGUGUUUCUAUCAACAGCCUCUGAUUACAACAUGGCUGAGAUCACAAAUAUACGCCCCAGCUUUGAUAAAAAAACAUUACACUUUGGUUAUUCGCUCUGGAUGCCAGUGAGAUGUCUCAAUAGACAAACCUGCCCCUGAGCCUGCUGAUGGCCUGAACUUACUUCCUGGGACCCACAUGGUAGAGGGAGAAACAACAGCCAAAGCUGUCCGGUGUACUAUGGUAAGUACUUUACCAAUGAGCUACAUGCCCGGUCUCCUUGAAUGUAUAGAAGACAGAGAGAAUAAAUUACAAAUCUCCUGUGCCCUAAGAAUCACAGCAAACACAUUAAAGACUCGAGUCUUUCACUGCCAAUCUCAACCUGGACUUGACACAGUCAUCUCCUACCAGUCUUCUUGGCGGUUUUAUGAGGGCUGCAGUCAAUGCUGACUUGGGUGAAGUCUUCAAUGAGCCGCAUAGCUCCCAUCCAGUUACAAGGCUGGAAUAAGGUCUGGAACCUGGGGUUGAACUGCUGGUGAAGGGCAAUGGAAUUCUCAGCAAAGGUGCCCAGCUCUUUCUGGGAAGAAAGGACACAAAGGAGUUCUCAGGUAACUCCAGACAGCUAACACCACACCACAGUCCUCAAGCUCUUAAGGGGGAAGGGACCUUCCUGCAACAAGAUCAGGGGCAGGCAGAAAUCUUUACUGAUAUCAUUCCAUUAUAAAAUCUGUCUUUGGCCUCAGUCACUCAAGAACUAGA
rnacentral:lncRNA from 1 species